UAGUUGCAAGGUAUAGACCCGAAACCCGGUGAUCUAGCCAUGGGCAGGUUGAAGGUUGGGUAACACUAACUGGAGGACCGAACCGACUAAUGUUGAAAAAUUAGCGGAUGACUUGUGGCUGGGGGUGAAAGGCCAAUCAAACCGGGAGAUAGCUGGUUCUCCCCGAAAUCUAUUUAGGUAGAGCCUUGAGCGGACACCUUCGGGGGUAGAGCACUGUUUCGGCUAGGGGUCCAUCCCGGAUUACCAACCCGAUGCAAACUACGAAUACCGAAGAGUGAUACUCAGGAGACACACGGCGGGUGCUAACGUCCGUCGUGGAGAGGGAAACAACCCAGACCGCCAGCUAAGGUCCCAAAGUCUAUAUUAAGUGGGAAACGAAGUGGGAAGGCUUAGACAGCUAGGAUGUUGGCUUAGAAGCAGCCAUCAUUUAAAGAAAGCGUAAUAGCUCACUAGUCGAGUCGGCCUGCGCGGAAGAUGUAACGGGGCUCAAAUAUAGCACCGAAGCUGCGGCAUCAGUAGCAAUACUGUUGGGUAGGGGAGCGUUGUGUAAGCGGAUGAAGGUGUGUUGAGAAGCAUGCUGGACGUAUCACAAGUGCGAAUGCUGACAUAAGUAACGAUAAAACGGGUGAAAAACCCGUUCGCCGGAAGACCAAGGGUUCCUGUCCAACGUUAAUCGGGGCAGGGUGAGUCGGCCCCUAAGGCGAGGCUGAAAAGCGUAGUCGAUGGGAAACAGGUUAAUAUUCCUGUACUUGGUAAAGCUGCGAUGUGGGGACGGAGCAGGUUAGGUUAUCGCACUGUUGGAUAUGUGCGUUUAAGUUGGUAGGUGGGAAGUUUAGGCAAAUCCGAACUUCCUUAACACUGAGAGAUGAUGACGAGGCUCUACGGAGCUGAAGUAACCGAUACCACACUUCCAGGAAAAGCCACUAAGCGACAGGCUUUACUAAACCGUACUGAAAACCGACACAGGUGGUCAGGUAGAGAAUACUCAGGCGCUUGAGAGAACUCGGGUGAAGGAACUAGGCAAAAUAGCACCGUAACUUCGGGAGAAGGUGCGCCGGCGUAGAUUGUAGUCCCUCGCGGGCGAAGGUUGAACCGGUCGAAGAUACCAGCUGGCUGCAACUGUUUAUUAAAAACACAGCACUCUGCAAACACGAAAGUGGACGUAUAGGGUGUGAUGCCUGCCCGGUGCUGGAAGGUUAAUUGAUGGUGUAAUCGAAAGAGAAGCUCCUGAUCGAAGCCCCAGUAAACGGCGGCCGUAACUAUAACGGUCCUAAGGUAGCGAAAUUCCUUGUCGGGUAAGUUCCGACCUGCACGAAUGGCAUAAUGAUGGCCAGGCUGUCUCCACCCGAGACUCAGUGAAAUUGAAAUCGCCGUGAAGAUGCGGUGUACCCGCGGCUAGACGGAAAGACCCCGUGAACCUUUACUAUAGCUUGACACUGAACAUUGAAUUUUGAUGUGUAGGAUAGGUGGGAGACUUAGAAGUAGUCACGCCAGUGAUUAUGGAGUCGACCUUGAAAUACCACCCUUUAACGUUUGAUGUUCUAACGAAGAUUGCGAAACG
rnacentral:rRNA from 1 species